CUUUGCAGCGAUGUGACAGAAUAGCAUGCAGGGACCAUACAGAAGAGGAAAAGACCUCUGCAGGCAAUGAUGCUGGGACAGCAAACCUCCUGUGGCAUAGCAGAGUUCCUGGAGACCUCUGGGAUGCUCCUCAAGGUUAAAGCUGAUUUUCACCUUGUGCUUCUAUGACAUUCCCUUGGGGAGGCCACAAGCCACUAAACCUGCAUUUCACAUCAGCCUUCAGCUCUUCCAUGAGGCCUUGCAGUAUUGGAGGCAAUGUCACCAAUGUACCCUUUUUAAUUUGGUUUUGGAAUAGACUGAGAAGGAAUAAAUGCAGUGUGCAAAGCCUGGAGUUUGGGGAUCCACAAGAAAGAGAAAAGGGCACGUGCUGAUGGCUGAAUGAUUUCCACAAGCAAGGGAGGAUUGCAUAUGUUUCAACAGACCUAGUCUUUAUGAGUCCUUGUGGGAUGGGGACAGACAAACCCACUGUGGCUGCCUUCAAGCUCAUCAUGAGACCAUAUAGAUAUUAACUGGGAAUGUUAAUCCAAACUGGGAAUGAUGAAAUCUUUCCUUCUUGUGUAUCCAAUUUGCCUUUAUGAGCACACGGCUAUAGAGAUAAGGCAUUGUUAUGUGCAUAUGUGUUAAUACACAUAGGCGCUAAUGGCUAAUCCUGGGCCUUAUGUUAGACUACAUGAGUAAAGUUGAACACUUUGAGGGGCAAAGGAAU